GACGUAGGGCGCGAGCGUUGUCCGGAUUUAUUGGGCGUAAAGAGCUCGUAGGCGGCUUGUUGCGUCAGCUGUGAAAACCCGCGGCUCAACUGUGGGCGGGCAGCUGAUACGGGCAGGCUGGAGUUCGGUAGGGGAGACUGGAAUUCCUGGUGUAGCGGUGAAAUGCGCAGAUAUCAGGAGGAACACCGAUUGCGAAGGCAGCUCGCUGGGACGUUACUGACGCUGAGACGCGAAAGCGUGGGGAGCAAACAGG
rnacentral:rRNA from 1 species